GAUGAAGAACGUAGCGAAAUGCGAUAAGUAAUGUGAAUUGCAGAAUUCAGUGAAUCAUCGAAUCUUUGAACGCACAUUGCGCCCCCUGGUAUUCCGGGGGGCAUGCCUGUCCGAGCGUCAUUACAACCCUCAAGCUCAGCUUGGUAUUGGGCCCCGCCGACCCGGCGGGCCCUAAAGUCAGUGGCGGUGCCGUCCGGCUCCGAGCGUAGUAAUUCUUCUCGCUCUGGAGGUCCGGUCGUGUGCUCGCCAGCAACCCCCAAUUUUUUUCAGGUUGACCUCGGAUCAGGUAGGGAUACCCGCUGAACUUAAGCAUAUCAAUAGCGGAGGA
rnacentral:misc_RNA from 1 species